CCCCUACGGGGCGCAGCAGUGAGGAAUAUUGGUCAAUGGCCGAAGGGCUGAACCAGCCAAGCCGCGUGAAGGAAUAAGGCCCUACGGGUCGUAAACUUCUUUAGUCAGGGAACAAAGGGUGCCACGCGUGGCGCUGUGAGUGUACCUGAAGAAUAAGCAUCGGCUAACUCCGUGCCAGCAGCCGCGGUAAUACGGAGGAUGCGAGCGUUAUCCGGAUUUAUUGGGUUUAAAGGGUGCGUAGGCGGUUUGUCAAGUCAGCGGUAAAAAUUCCGGGCUCAACCCGGCCCCGCCGUUGAAACUGGCGG
rnacentral:rRNA from 1 species